rnacentral:rRNA from 1 species
UACGUAGGGGGCUAGCGUUAUCCGGAUUUACUGGGUGUAAAGGGCGUGUAGGCGGAGAUGCAAGUUGGGAGUGAAAUCCCGGGGCUCAACCCCGGAACUGCUUUCAAAACUGCAUCCCUUGAGUAUCGGAGAGGCAAGCGGAAUUCCUAGUGUAGCGGUGAAAUGCGUAGAUAUUAGGAGGAACACCAGUGGCGAAGGCGGCUUGCUGGACGACAACUGACGCUGAGGCGCGAAAGCGUGGGGAGCAAACAGGAUUAGAUACCCUGGUAGUCCCU